rnacentral:rRNA from 1 species
ACGGAGGUGGCAAGCGUUAUUCGGAUUUAUUGGGCGUAAAGGGCGAGAAGGCGGUUUGGUAAGUCUGAUGUGAAAUCUCCAUCGCUCAAUGAGGAGUUUGCAUCGGAUACUGCCAAUCUUGAGUACGGGAGAGGAGAGUGGAAUUCCUGGUGUAGCGGUGGAAUGCGUAGAUAUCAGGAGGAACACCGGUGGCGAAGGCGGCUUUCUGGCCUGUAACUGACGCUGAGGCGCGAAAGCGUGGGGAGCAAACAG